rnacentral:rRNA from 1 species
UACGUAGGAGGCAAGCGUUGUCCGGAAUUACUGGGCGUAAAGCGCGUGUAGGUGGUGGGACAAGUCUGCUGUGAAAGCGCCUGGCUUAACCGGGCGAGGUCGGCGGAAACUGUUCGACUCGAGGACGGUAGAGGGGGGUGGAAUUCCCGGUGUAGUGGUGAAAUGCGUAGAGAUCGGGAGGAACACCCGUGGCGAAGGCGGCCAACUGGGCCGACCCUGACGCUGAGGCGCGAAGGCGUGGGGAGCGAACGGG